CGACUACGCAGUGGCCCAGUUGAGCAUGGGGAAGGGGAUGAACAGCAGUUAGAGGAGGUUACUCAGGAACAAGAAACCUUCUGAGAUCUUCAGAAGCUGCGCUGCGAGCAGACAGACAGACCAACCUAAGGAUUAAAGGCACGCUGCUUAUCAUCACGCUUUACAACUCACACAGGCAAUACCAAGACUUUGGUAUGGAUCAGAUGCCAUGUUGCCCAUGCAGGAAGAGAGGGGUUUGGUUACACAAAUGCGCGCAUUUGUCAACAUGCCAAACCAUCUGCUUAAGACAUGUUUCUCACUGUAUGCAAAUUUCCUCCGAAGAAACAAGAGCUACAAACAAACACUGUACUCUAGUUAAGGACUGGCCAGCUGGAGGGUCUACGGUGACGUGAACUGGAACUUUCUCUGCAAUGCAUCUCCCAAGAUAAAAUGGGCUGGUGGACAGACAGAGGCAGAGACAGCUGCGUGAUGUCAGUGAUAAAAGCCACGGGUAGGUGUUUAGGCGUUCAUGGCUCUUUCAACUUCUCUGCAUGUUUUUGAAUGUAAAAAUUAAAGUGCAUGGCGCUCAAGCCCAGAGCAGGCAUUCAGAAAUAGUCACUGCCUUGAAUGUAAGGAUUCGAUCCAACCUGCCUUUGCAUGAUGCCACGAACUGUUUAGCCCAUGGGAGGUCUUCGGAAAUUCAGCACAAGGACCUUUUGCUGAACACAAAGACUGGGGGGCAAACUGAAAUCAGUAUGGACGUCCCCAAAAAUGAGCCUCUGUUGGAGGUGGCAGCAAAGAGGCUCCGCUCCCCAGAGACCGCAUCCCAGGGGAGCGCCACUCCCAGCCCUGCCUUUUCUCCAGCCGCACAGCGCACGUGACCACACUCCUCCACCUUGGUCAGCCUGGACAAGGAGUCCACGGUGUGGGCCACCUUCCCGUCCAUGGUGCGAACCUGGAUCCACAUGGUGCCUGCUGGAGCUGCAAGGAUGAGGGAGUGAGUGACACCCCUGGUCAGUUCUGCCAUCAAUACCACCACCAUGGCCGUGCCAUAUUCGGGUCAUCCUUGCUAUUGUCCAGACUGUGGACACCAGGGGAGAAAAAAAAAACACACCAGGAUACAGAAGAGAAGGGGCACACAGUCAAACGGUGAGGGGCCGAGUUUGUUUGUUCGUUCGUUCAUUCAUUCAUUCAUUCCCUGGAUGAACACUGACGCGAGAGGGAAACCCAAAAGUCCCGCUUUUGACUGGAACUUCCGAAGUCCCGGGGAACUCAACUAAGUGGGACCGAAGGGGAAGAAACCCACUCGAGACCCGGGAGCUGGGGACCCCGUGUGCCCGCGGACCCCCACUGCACCCCCGACCCGCGCGCGCGCUUGCGCGACGCGGCGGGCCCCGCUGUGGCCAUGGCAACCGGCCGCCCCGUCCCGGCCACCCCCGCGCGGGCAGCGCUACUCACUUCUGCCCCACGGCCGCCCGGAGCUCCAGCCUGCGUUUCCCGGACCCCGACGCAAGGCCCCGCAGCCCCUCUUGUUCUCUCGCUCGCCCGCGCGGGCCACGCCAGCGAGCCCACGCCCACCCCCCACCGCCGGGACGGCCAAGGGGCCCGCGCGCCAGGUCCCGCCCCCUUCACUUGAGCCGCCUCACUGAUUGGCUCCGCCGCGGUCGGCCGCCCCGCCCCGCUCGCUCCUCAUUGGCCCAGACGCGCCCGGGGAACUAAGGGCGCGCGAAAUCGGGCUCGGGCGCGACAAUUGAAUCGCGGGGCGCCCCGCGCGCAGGCGCGGAGCCUGACAUCCUCCCCCGCGGCUCGCCGGGCCCUCCCCCACCGAGCCGGCGCGACCCCCGCGGGGCGCCUGGGAUGUUCCGCUCGCUCCUGCCAGAGCCUGGGCUUCCGGGGCGACUUCUAAGGGCCGGCAGGGUUGGGGGCAAAGCCGGAGACCGCGUGUAGGGUAGCCCCGGCGCGGGGAAAAUGUACUCCCGUGCUGGCAGAGCGUCCCGGAAAGUUUUGCAAAGUCAAGGCGCCGGGUGCGCCGAGUCCUGCCCGCCUCCCCCAGUCCGCGCCCUGGCCCGGGCUGGCACCCCAAACGGCCUGACCGCUCACGAUCCACUCGCCUGCUUGCGCGCUGGCCCUUCUGAGGAUGGCAGAGGAGCCGCGUGUGUGGCCAGGACCCUGCGCAGACGUGUGUGCGAUCCCGAGCGCCCGGACGGCCACCACUGCCCGCUGCGCUGCCAGCUGCUCUGAUUUUUUUCCCGCGAAAACUUGGCGUUUGGGAGUUGCGGGGCCACAGGAGGCCGCGCCGGGGGCGGGCGCCUGCCUGGUGAUUGGCCGCCUCAGUGGCGGGAAGCGAGAAAGGGGGUGGGGGGCGCCCCCGCCUCUGUCCACCCCCCCCCUCCGCCCAGCGGGCCACGGCCCCGCCCAUCCCUGCGCGCUCUGCUGGGCGCGCCCAGCGUGCAACGGGGCCGGUGGCGGGACCUGGGCCCCCUCAUCAUGGGUGCUCUCCAUGAGCCCUAAGGAUCACCCCCAGGGCAGAGACCCCCAGGGUAGACACCCCUGACCUUCCAAGUCUGUUCCUUCAGCCCCUCUUACCAGGCAUGCACUGACCAGUUGGGCAGGAAGACCGGAAUCAGUGUAAAUUAUACAGGAGAAUUUGGGGGUGACCCCCCAGAAGACCUCCUGCACCCCGAUGACGGGCCUGAUCGCCCCAGCUCGGUUUCCUUGCGCCAGGGCCCUCCAGCGCUCCCCACCCUACCCACCCGCAGGGCUUGUUUGCUGGUUUUUCCCGCCUCGUUUUCCCGCCUUCUCCUAGCUGUCCAGGCGGGCAGGGCUGCCCUCCCCCCUCCGCCCUGCCUGCUCCGCUCUGACCAGUCCUGGCGGGCACACAGUGACCCAUUCUGGGCACCUACAGAAUGCCUGAACAGGGUGUUAAGAGCUGGGGGCCCAAAAGUGGGCAAGGCCCACCCUGUUGGUGGUCUCCAAGAGGUUAAAUUCUUAUCUGGGGAGACCAGCAAGAAAUGAAUCAAUAAAGCAAAUCAUUUCAGAUACCACAUGUGCCAUGAAGACAGGACAAGAGCUGGAGAGUGACCAGCAGCCAUGUGGGAGGGCGGGGAGAGGAGGCACUCUGGUUGAGGUGGAGAGGUGGGCCUCUCUGGGUAGAUGACAUUUGAGCUGAGAUCUGAGAUGAGAAACCAAGGACAGACGGAUCGAGGCGGAAAGAGCAAAUGCAGAGGCCGGAAAAGGCUUAGAAAUGGACAGAGAGCCGGGCAGAUGCAGUGAAAGGGAGGGCGGGCGGGAGCGAAUGAGGUCAGAGGGGUGUCAUGUAAGACCUCACAGGCCACCAGGAGGACUUUGGUCUUUCUCUGGAGAGCAGUGGAUAGGGUGGGAGGGCUGUGAGCUGAAAACCAAUGAGCUCCAAUGUGUGUUUUCACAAGGUUUCUCUGGCCACACAUAGAGUUCUUUCUAUCUUGGCUCUGGUAUUUCUGCUUUUAUUUCUCCCAACGGUAGACAGAUGAAUGGCCCCCAAAGAUGUCCACAUCUUAAUCCCUGGGAUCUGUGAAUAUCAUACCUUCCAUGGCAAAAGGGAUUCAGCAGAUGGGGUUAAACUGAAGAUUGUCAGAUGGGGAGAUUAUCCUAGAUUAUCUGGGCUGGCCCAGUGUCAUCAUGAGGGUCCUAGUAAAUGAAAAAGAGUGGUGAGAGGGUCAAGUCAGAGAAGUGACAAUGGGAAUAGAGGAUGGAAUGAUGAAAGCAAAAGGCAAAGGAUAUGGGAAACCGCUAGAAGCUGGAAAAAACAAAGGACAGAUUCUUUCCUAGAAUUCUAGAACGUAAUCCUGCCAACACCUUGAUUUUAGCUCCAUUUCACACUUCGGACCUCCAGAACUGUAAGAGAACUCAGCUGUCUUGUUUGAAAGCAUGGAAUUUAUGGACGUUGGUUACAGCAGCCAUAGGAAUGAACAUACUCCAAUCACAAAGUCGAGAUGCUCCUAUUAAUUUCCCCCCACCUUCAGGACAUCGCCGACACAACUGAUAGCAUUUAUCAAAACUAAGCUAUCAGCUACGUGGUGACCAUGUUGCAGAUGUGAGCAGGUAGCCAGGCCUCCCCAACCUUGUGAGGCAGAUGAGGUCUUCCAUACUGACAACAUCUCUGACAGGAACCCAGCCCUUUUCUGGCAAGAGCAUAGCCUCUCUCUGUGCCUGCUGUUGUCAAUACUCAGCAUGGCUGAAAAAGAAAUAGACUCUAUAUUCCUUGUGUACAUUUGGUACAGGGCACACAGUCCAGCCUCCUUGGAUAUCUGAAGUCAAGCAACACAGAAAGAGGUGUCUGGUUUUCCCUGCAGAAAAGACCUUGAGCAGUGGUGAUGAGGGGCCCCACCCAAUCUCUCUACUCAUUUCAAGAAAGUCAGAGGGGUUGCUUGGGUUAAUUAACAACCAUGAACAAGAAACUAUGCCAAGCAUCUUUAAAAGAAGCUUAACAACCAGUUGGAAAAGCAAAAUGUUGAUGUCCGCAAAAGACAUCGCAUCAAAGACAGCAAGAUAUGACAUAGUCAUGAGGCCUGCCAGAGCCUGGAGAACAGACACUUCCUAAAGCUUCUUCUGUUUUGCUGUCCUUCCUACUUAGGCACCUGCCUAUGUGCAGAUCAGGCACCCUAAGGGUGCAAAGGGCUUCAGUUUCCCUUUUACAAAAUGAUACGCACUUGACAAUCAUUAAGUCACUGAACAGACUUUAAUUGCCCUCCCUUGUCUGCACCAGGCCCUGGGUCCAGCGGACCAAGUCCCGCCCUACAGGGACUUCUUGUGCAGUGGAGAAGCAGGAGGAAAGACGGUCAUCAGUUGUGCAGGGAGAUGGUGCUUUGUGAUGGUGUCCAUGAUCACAUGGAGCCCAAAGUGCUCUGAGCAUCUCCAAGACACAGCAAAUCCCAUGUCCUAGCUAUCGCUAUCAUUUUCCUUCUAAUAUACAUCAAUAGAAAUAGAGAGCUAUUAAAGACAAAAUGAUUGGGACUUUCCUGGCGGUCCAGUGGUUAAGACUCCACUCUGUCACUGCUGAGGUCACAGGUUCAAUCCCUGGUCAGGGAACUAAGAUCCCACAAGCUAAACGGUGUAACCAAAAAAAAAAAAGAAAAAAAAAGUGAAAAUGAUUAUCUGUAUAGGACCCAGCAUCCAUGUAUGAACCCUGAGGAGGGUGCACAUGCCACAUGUGGGGGCCAUCUGAUGGGGCAGAAGAUCCCCCUGGGCUCAUCCCCUCUCCAUCUGUAAAUGAAGCUUACGAUGCAUAUCUCACCAGAGAGCCUGGGAGAAUUCUUCCUAUACAGGCCCCAGAUAUCUGGCAAGAUGACAGUUGUUCCCUGUAUGCCAAGAAUAUUGCUAUCUUGUGGUUUUCUUAUUUGUUUGCUAUUUCCUAGAAAAAAGAGGUCAGGCUACCAUUUCAUCAACCAGUGAGGCCUUUGGGAUUCCCACACUGCCGCCCACCCCCAAAAACCUUGCCCCCACCAAUCCUGGCCAUUGGGAACCCCUUCCCAGAACCUUGACUGGCUGAUGUCACAGACAGAUGACCUCACUGUGGCCGAGGAUCUCUGUGACAUGGGGGAGGGGGAAGGAUGUUUCUCCGUCACCCCAACCCCCCAUGUCUGUGGUGAAAUCGAUCGAAUUAGUGCUGCCCAAAGAUGCAGUCUACCUGGCUGGCUGCAUCAUCGAAGGACAGGUGGUCCUAACUCUGAACAGCACCCUGGUGGACCCCAUCGUGAAGGUGGAGCUUGUGGGAAGAGGUUACGUGGAGUGGAAUGAAGAAACUGGGGCGUCCCGCGAUUAUAGCCGAGAAGUUAUUUGCAACAACAAGGCUGACUACGUGCACAAGACAAAGACAUUCCCAGUGGAGGGUAAGGACCGGUAUGACUGCCAAUGUUAGCCAGAAUAGGAAACCAGGGUCUGGAAGAUAAACACAUCUGUCAAUCAAUCAACAAACCCCCAGGGAUAUGAGAAAUGGGUAGAGCCCUGGCUCCUGUGGUCACAGGGGAAGAGAAAGGAGGGAGAGGACUAGGAGAGAUCCUCGAGGGAAGCACUGACAAGCCCCCAGCUCUGCCAGAUUCAGAUCUAAAGUCUGGACAGACCUCAGGGAGCCUGGGCUGCCAGGGAACUAUAGGUCCUUUCCAAAAUGAGUGUUUCCGGGUAGUCCACAGUCAAUCAGAACGCUUGGCCAAUGCUUGUUUGAACAAAGUUUCAUUUCAGAUUUUUUAAAAAAAUUUUAGAUAGGGUAGCCGGGGAAGGUGUCACCAAAAGACUAUGGAGCUCAGAUCUAGUGAUGGAAGGGGUCCCUGCCUUGCAGAUACCCAGAUAUUGUUUGCACAUUAGUUGCUCAGUCUUGUUCAACUCUUUGUGAUCCCAUGGACUUUAGCCCACUAGGCUCCUCUGUCCAUGGGAUUUCCCAGGCAAGAAUACUGGCGUGGGUAGCCAUUCCCUUUUCCAGGGGAUCUUCCUGACCCAGGGAUCGAACCCAGGUCUCCCACAUUACAGGCAGAUUCUUUACCAUCUGAGCCACCAGGGAAACCCAUCCAGAUACUGCUGGACCUUAAUACUCAACAAUCAGGCCGCCUCUCUCUGUCCCAGUUAACUCACCUGGAAGAUGGGAAGAGAAAGAAGUCCUGCCUCCUGAGAUUGUCUUGAGGACUUGAUGAUUUAAUGGCAUGUCUCAGGCUCGGAAUAGCAGGGGUUAUAGAGUAAGUGCUGAAUAGGUGUUAGUUCUUUCAACCAAAACAAUUUUUCAGCCCCUCAACCCCACAGCAUCAGGUACCACCCUUCUCCAUUUCCAAGGGAAGCAUCCUUUCCCCUCAGGAGCAUCAACCUCAAUUCAUUUACUCCACAAACAAACAUGUAUUAAGCACCUACUGUGCACAACAACCAUGCCAGGUACCAGGGAUGCAGCAGCAAAGAAAACAGAAAAGGUCCCUGGCAUCCCUGGGGUUGCUGUCAGACUGGGAGGACACACUCAUAAGAGGCUUUGUGGGAAAUGUAAGAAAAAAUAAAACAGGGAGAUCACAGAGAUGAGAGGGCAGUGUGACUCCCUCCCUGGCCCACCACCAUCGUCACUCAGUCAAUCUGCUGUGUGCUGUGCAGUGAAGGCCAACGGCUGCCAGGGCAGGGAGAUUUGCCUGCCUUGGGCCCCAAGAUGUGUUUGUUGAAUAAAUGUGUGAUCGAACCUGCAGGCCAGACCUCCAGUUUCCCAGGCCCAGAGCAGGGGUGAGCAAGUCCCAGUGGGUAGAUUGGGGUGACCACCAUCCACCCAGAGCUUCCAUCUCCAGCCCAACUGAGGUCUAAUAUUUAUGAGCCUUGGUGUUUUGGAUCCCUAAAACUCAGAGCUAGCUCAGGGACAGAGAGGCCAGAUCCAGAAAAAGCUAACUGCCAAAACAAUAAAGAAAGUGGGGGGGGGGGGGGAGAUUCUAGAACCUUCUGAUGGCAUUGGUGUGUUUUGCUUUCAGAUAAUUGGUUAAGUGCAGGCAGCCACACCUUUGACUUCCAUUUCAACUUACCUCCCAGGCUCCCUUCCACCUUCACCAGCAAAAUCGGCAACAUCUUUUACUUCGUGCAGGCCUUCUGCAUGGGUCGGGAGCACAUUCUAGCCAAGAAGAGAAUAUACUUGAUGGUUCAAGGCACUUCCUCAAUUUUUCACGCGGAAAAAUCAUUGCAGAGACCAGAGAAACUGGCAACAGACGGCUUGCUGGCUGCCUCCUGGGAGAGAAGCAGGGGGGAGAAGCAAAAUUUUUCUCCUUCCACUUUUUUUUUUAACAUCUUGAUUGAGAUACAAUUCA